CUUUGGAAUAGUAAGAAGCUUUGUAGAAAAUGAAAGCGAAGCAAAUACAAGACAUAUUGUUGGAACUUAUGGCUAUCUAUCACCAGAGUACAUAGUUGGUGGGCUGUACUCAACAAAAUCUGAUGUCUAUAGCUUUGGUGUACUAAUAUUAGAAAUAGUUAGUGGGAAGCGAAAUAAAGGAUUCAUCGAUAUUGACCACUACUUUAAUCUUCUUGCCGAUGCAUGGACACUUUUAGCCAAAGGCAAGUGCUUAGAAAUAGUUGAUGUAUCGAUCAGAGACUCAAU